rnacentral:tRNA from 1 species
GAUAAGAUGGCUGAGUUUUAAGCGGUGGAUUGUAACCCCAUGAACAGAGGUUUGAGUCCUCUUUUUAUCA